AAACUGUGGUGUGGGCAACAUCUCAGUAGGUCCUUGUACCUCUCUCAUAUAUCAUACAUGCUCUCAUCAUCAAACUGCGUAAAAGAAGAAAUAUCAUUAUGCAU
rnacentral:snoRNA from 1 species